GGAGAGUGGGGGCGGGCUGCGGGGGUAAUACGUGGGGGGCCGGCGUUAAUUGGAAUGACUGGGCGUAAGUCGUGCGCAGGUGGGCGCGUAAGACAGGGGUGAAAUCCCCGAGCUUAACUUGGGAACUGGGCUUGUAACUGAGAGGCUAGGGUGUGGCAGAGGGGGGUGGAAUUCCACGUGUAGCAGUGAAAUGCGUAGAGAUGUGGAGGAACACCGAUGGCGAAGGCAGCCCCCUGGGCUAACACUGACGCUCAUGCACGAAAGCGUGGGGAGCAAACAGGAUUAGAUACCCGUUUAGUC
rnacentral:rRNA from 1 species